GUGUAAAAAAAUAUAUGCACACAACAGCCACUCAAAACCCUUCAACAGAACACAGUAGUCACUUUGAGGGAAAACACAAGAGCCUGCCCUGCAAGAAGCAGGUCCUGUUAAAUUAAGGUUUAGCAAAUUGUGAUGUUUCACUGUUGCUAUGGUGGCAGCUGAAGCAUCAAGCUUUCGUGUCUCACCACAACCUGUGGCAAUGCACUUGUGACGCAUGUGCUGAAAAGCACAGUGGAAAACAACACGUCAGUAUUUGUAAGUAUAAUUUGUUUAAACUAAGUGACAAACAAAAAUUUUAUCAAAGUACCUCAGUGCAAAUCAGUCUAAUGGCAUUAAAAGCAGUGUAGGAUUGACUCUUUAUCACUGAUAGAUUCUCUGGCAUCCUCUUGAAUAGCAUUAAUAAUAAAAAUUGUAAAUAUAAUUUCCCAGUGGUGCUUGUAAUUUGUAGUGUCAAGAAAUAGGAGUAAUGCUGUCCCUCUUAUACAUAAGUACUGUGACAAAUCCAGUUGGAUUUAUUCAAUCUUCCAGUCAGAUUGAGCCUUACUAACAUGUAUGUCAUGAUAAACGUCUUUUUCAUCUGUGUAAGAAGAUGAAUUUGACAUACUAUGACGGCAGAGCCUAUGGCUUAAGAAACGGAUUGGCACUCUCAAGAGGUUACUGCAAAUUUGUGUGUGUGUGUGUAUAUGUGUCCUGCUGUGCUCUUGUCACCCAAAAGCUGUUGCUUGGCCACAAGGUGGAAAAAAGCAGGUCACCCGUCACGACUAACUAAAAUGACUCAUCUCAACAGGAAGCUCUCCCACUGUGCUGAUGCAGACCCCUUCCAACAAGGUCCCAACAGAUUUGUGACUGUGACAUCUGUCACCUCAUUUUAGGCGAGAGUGUAGUUUGCUGUUUAGAUGUAGCACGAGAUGUUUCAUUUUACAUAGCCAGAACUUGACAAAUGCUACAGGCAUUAAAGUCUACAUGAGAUGACACACAGAUAUUAAAGUCUACAUGACAUGGCAUUCACAACCCAAAACUUCUGUAAUGUACCGUAUUUCGGCAUUAAACAGGAUAUUCAAUAAGAAAAAAAAA